AUGAAGAGGCUGCUGUGCUCUCUGCUGGGGCUUCUGUGCACCCAGGUUUGCUGGACAGCAAGUGCAGCAGAGUCCCACGUCCUUGGUUCUGCAGGAGGGGGAAAACGCAGAGCUGCAGUGUAACUUUUCCACAUCUUUGAACAGUAUGCAGUGGUUUUACCAACGUCCUGGGGGAAGUCUCGUCAGCGUGUUCUACAAUCCUUCUGGGACAAAGCAGAGUGGGAGACUGACAUCCACAACAGUCAUUAAAGAACGCCGCAGCUCUUUGCACAUUUCCUCCUCCCAGAUCACAGACUCAGGCACUUAUCUCUGUGCUAUGGAAC